CGCUUUAAGUUAUAAUUUAAAGUAUUACCUGCUCAAUGACAAAUUAAAUAGCCGCAGCAUAAACUGUGCUAAGGUAGCAUAAUAAUUAGCUUUUUAAUUAGAAGAUCGUAUGAAUGGUCAAACAGAAAAUGACUGUUUCAUCUAAUCAAAUGAACUUAUCUUCUUAGUCAAAACGCUAACUUACAUGUGAAAGACGACAAGACCCUGAUAAACUUAACAUUUAGUUGGGGCAACAAAAUAAAAAAACUUUAAUUGUUAUACAUAUAAAUAUUUUAUCAGUAUUAUACUAAUACAACUAGUUACUACAGGGAUAACAGCGCAAUUCUUUUUAAAAGCCCUUAUUUAAAAAAGACAUUACGACCUCGAUGUUGAAUUAAUUUCACCUAGUAGUGCAAAAACCACAAAAGGAUGGUCUGUUCGACCAAUAAUAAAUU
rnacentral:rRNA from 1 species